rnacentral:rRNA from 1 species
UUUGACCUCAAAUCAGGUAGGACUACCCGCUGAACUUAAGCUACUAA